CCUUAGAUAGCUCGGUUGGUGGAGCGGAGGACUGUAGGUUCCUUUAAACUUAAGGCAUCCUUAGGCCCCUGGUUCGAAUCCGGCUCAGAGGA
rnacentral:tRNA from 1 species